UGUGAAGAAGGCCUUCGGGUUGUAAAGCACUUUCAGCGAGGAGGAAAGGUUAGUACUUAAUACGUGCUAGCUGUGACNNUACUCGCAGAAGAAGCACCGGCUAAUUUAGUGCCAGCAGCCGCGGUAAUACUAAAGGUGCAAGCGUUAAUCGGAAUUACUGGGCGUAAAGCGCGCGUAGGUGGUUUGUUAAGUUGGAUGUGAAAGCCCAGGGCUCAACCUUGGAACUGCAUUCAAAACUGACUCACUAGAGUACGAGAGAGGUUAGUGGAAUUUCCUGUGUAGCGGUGAAAUGCGUAGAGAUGGGAAGGAACACCAGUGGCGAAGGCGACUGACUGGCUCGAUACUGACACUGAGGUGCGAAAGCGUGGGGAGCAAACGGGAUUAGAUACCCCGGUAGUCCACGCCGUAAACGAUGUCUACUAGCCGUUGGAGGACUUGAUCCUUUAGUG
rnacentral:rRNA from 1 species